rnacentral:rRNA from 1 species
GAGUUUGAUCAUGGCUCAGAACGUACGCUGGCGGCACGCCUAACACAUGCAAGUCGAACGAAGUAGCAAUACUUAGUGGCAGACGGGUGAGUAACAUGUAGGUAUCUGCCCUUUGGCCUGGAAUAACACGAGGAAACUUGUGCUAAUACCGGAUAAGUCUUUACGGAGAAAGCUUUAUGCACCAUUGGAUGAGCCUGCACUUGAUUAGUUUGUUGGUGGGGUAAUGGCCUACCAAGACUGUGAUCAAUAGCUGAUUUGAGAGGAUGAUCAGCCACAUUGGGACUGAGACACGGCCCAGACUCCUACGGGAGGCAGCAGUGGGGAAUCUUGCACAAUGGAGGAAACUCUGAUGCAGCGAUGCCGCGUGAGUGAAGAAGGCCCUUGGGUUGUAAAGCUCUCUCGUCGGGGAAGAAAAUGACUGUACCCGAAUAAGAAGGUCCGGCUAACUUCGUGCCAGCAGCCGCGGUAAUACGAAGGGACCUAGCGUAGUUCGGAAUUACUGGGCUUAAAGAGUUCGUAGGUGGUUGAAAAAGUUAGUGGUGAAAUCCCAGAGCUUAACUCUGGAACUGCCAUUAAAACUUUUCAGCUAGAGUAUGAUAGAGGAAAGCAGAAUUUCUAGUGUAGAGGUGAAAUUCGUAGAUAUUAGAAAGAAUACCAAUUGCGAAGGCAGCUUUCUGGAUCAUUACUGACACUGAGGAACGAAAGCAUGGGUAGCGAAGAGGAUUAGAUACCCUCGUAGUCCAUGCCGUAAACGAUGUGUGUUAGACGUUGGAAAUUUAUUUUCAGUGUCGCAGCGAAAGCGAUAAACACACCGCCUGGGGAGUACGACCGCAAGGUUAAAACUCAAAUGAAUUGACGGGGACCCGCACAAGUAGUGGAGCAUGUGGUUUAAUUCGAAGAUACGCGCAGAACCUUACCAACACUUGACAUGUUCGUCGCGACUCUAAGAGAUUAGAGUUUUCGGUUCGGCCGGACGAAACACAGGUGCUGCAUGGCUGUCGUCAGCUCGUGUCGUGAGAUGUUGGGUUAAGUCCCGCAACGAGCGCAACCCUCACUUUUAGUUGCCAUCAUUAAGUUGGGCACUCUCAAAGAACUGCCAGUGAUAAGCUGGAGGAAGGUGGGGAUGACGUCAAGUCCUCAUGGCCCUUACGUGUUGGGCUAUACACGUGCUACAAUGGUAUCUACAACAGGAAGCAAGACUGCGAAGUUAAGCAAAUCCCUAAAAGAUACCUCAGUUCGGAUUGCACUCUGCAACUCGAGUGCAUGAAGCUGGAAUUACUAGUAAUCGUGGAUCAGCGUGCCACGGUGAAUGCGUUCCCGGGUCUUGUACACACCGCCCGUCACACCAUGGGAGUUGGUUCUACCUUAAGGCAAGGUUUUAAACCCUUGACCACGGUAUAGUCAGCGACUGGGGUGAAGUCGUAACAAGGUAACC